AUUGAACGCUGGCGGCAUGCCUUACACAUGCAAGUCGAACGGCAGCACGGGUGCUUGCACCUGGUGGCGAGUGGCGAACGGGUGAGUAAUACAUCGGAACAUGUCCUGUAGUGGGGGAUAGCCCGGCGAAAGCCGGAUUAAUACCGCAUACGAUCCACGGAUGAAAGCGGGGGACCUUCGGGCCUCGCGCUAUAGGGUUGGCCGAUGGCUGAUUAGCUAGUUGGUGGGGUAAAGGCCUACCAAGGCGACGAUCAGUAGCUGGUCUGAGAGGACGACCAGCCACCUGGGGAAUGGACAAGGGCCCAAGCUCCUACGGGAGGGAGACGGGGGGAAUUUGGGAAAAUGGGGGAAAGCCUUAUCCAGCAAUGCCGGGUGGGGGAAAAAGGCCUUGGGGUUGUAAAGGAUUUUUGUCCGGAAAGAAAUCCUUGACUCUAAUACAGUCGGGGGAUGACGGUCCCGGAAGAAUAAGCACCGGCUAACUACGU
rnacentral:rRNA from 1 species